rnacentral:rRNA from 1 species
GAUGAACGCUGGCGGCGUGCCUAAUACAUGCAAGUCGAACGCAUAGCGAAAGGUGCUUGCACCUUUCAAGUGAGUGGCGAACGGGUGAGUAACACGUGGACAACCUGCCUCAAGGCUGGGGAUAACAUUUGGAAACAGAUGCUAAUACCGAAUAAAACUUAGUGUCGCAUGACACAAAGUUAAAAGGCGCUUCGGCGUCACCUAGAGAUGGAUCCGCGGUGCAUUAGUUAGUUGGUGGGGUAAAGGCCUACCAAGACAAUGAUGCAUAGCCGAGUUGAGAGACUGAUCGGCCACAUUGGGACUGAGACACGGCCCAAACUCCUACGGGAGGCUGCAGUAGGGAAUCUUCCACAAUGGGCGAAAGCCUGAUGGAGCAGCGCCGCGUGUGUGAUGAAGGCUUUCGGGUCGUAAAGCACUGUUGUAUGGGAAGAACAGCUAGAAUAGGAAAUGAUUUUAGUUUGACGGUACCAUACCAGAAAGGGACGGCUAAAUACGUG